rfam:Pongo abelii chromosome 6.
GGCCGGUUAGUUCAGCUGGUUAGAGCGUGGCGCCAAUAACGCCAAGGUCGUGGGUUCGAUCCCCAUACGGGCCA